GACGAACCGUGCGACCGUUGUUCGGAAUCACUGGGCUUAAAGGGCGCGUAGGCGGACGACCAAGUCGGGGGUGAAAUCUUUCGGCUCAACCGGAAAAUAGCCUUCGAUACUGGCCGUCUGGAGGGAGGUAGGGGCGUGUGGAACUUCCGGUGGAGCGGUGAAAUGCGUUGAUAUCGGAAGGAACUCCGGUGGCGAAAGCGACACGCUGGAUCUCAUCUGACGCUGAGGCGCGAAAGCCAGGGGAGCGAACGGG
rnacentral:rRNA from 1 species